rnacentral:rRNA from 1 species
UACAGAGGGGGCAAGCGUUGUUCGGAAUUACUGGGCGUAAAGGGCGCGUAGGCGGCCUGUUAAGUCGGACGUGAAAUCCCUCGGCUCAACCGGGGAACUGCGUCCGAUACUGGCGGGCUUGAAUUCGGGAGAGGGAUGUGGAAUUCCAGGUGUAGCGGUGAAAUGCGUAGAUAUCUGGAGGAACACCGGUGGCGAAGGCGGCAUCCUGGACCGACACUGACGCUGAGGAGCGAAAGCCAGGGGAGCAAACGGG